UUGAAUAGUGAUUUUUAGAAGAAUUGAUGGUUAAAAAGUUUUUUGUGUGAAUACUAUUAUAAUAGGAGUUUUCAAAUGAUUGUUAUAAAAUGGAGACUUAUUUUUUUGGCUAAUUAUUUGAUUUAUGUUGACUAGUCUUAUUUUUUGGCUAAUGAUUAUUUUAAUAUACAUUUUCUUUAUAAGCGGCACAUUUUCAUAAUUUUAAAUUUUGAAUAAGUCCUUUGAUACGAACUAUAUAGUUUAUGGAUUUUACAAAUUUUUUACAAUAUAUUUUGUUAAUUUUUAUUAAAAUUUAUUAAAAAUCUAAUUUUAAUUUUCAAGCAAACAAGAGGAAAAUAUGAUUUCUAGAAGAUUAAAAGGUCAAUUGCAUUUUUCAGGUGCAAAGGUACCUAAAGUGACAAGACAGAAACGGCAAGAGACAUUAGAGGAUACUUGGAAGAUAAUAAUGGAAGCGCGUCAAGUGCCACCCACAAAGUCAGAUACGUGGCAACGCAGUGGGCAUCAGUUGACCACAAGUAGACCGGAUCAUGUACCAAAAUCGAAGACCUCCAAGAACCGUGUGAACUAUGAGUCCCCAUUCGAAGCUCCAUUGAGAUUGUCCUCAAGUACGAAGAUUUCAAAAGAGUCAUCGUUGAGUAAAGAUGAGCUGAAUCAAAGGGUUGAGGCGUUCAUCAAGCAAUUUAAUGAGGAGAUGAGGUUGCAAAGGCAAGAGUCACUCAACCAGAGUAUGGAGAUGAUUAAUCACGAGGUCUAGACUAUACAGAUCAUUAAUUCCUGUUGUAUAGAAAUAAGUCAAUAACCUUCACAGAAGACUUACAGAACUCUCACACAGGGUGAACUUCAUGUGAAUAUUUUAUUGAAAAAAAAAUAAAAAAAAAUACCUGCUGUGCCCCAUCUAGAGGGAUUCUGUGACCCCUCAUGCUGUACAUAUAGUAUGCUUGCUAUACAGAUUUAGAUUGUGAUUUACUUGUUAAUAUAAAAAUAUCAACAUAGAAAAUUGGAAAAAAGAAAAAGUAGUAGCUGCAAAAACUUUAAAAAAGCUUGAAAUAGUUUUUAGGGAACUACUUUUAGUUUGUGUUUCCAAAUUUGUCAGGCCUCACCGUCGAGGCUCUAUUUCAAGCAUAUGUGGCAACCACUUGGAUGCAUCAAUCCAGGGAAAAGUCAAAAGGUCGACAGAGUUAAAUGAUUGAAGUCAACUCUAUUGUUGAAAUUCCUUUACAAUCGAGGUCAUUCAUCCCGAAUUCCCUCCUUCAAAGGGUCUCGGAUUAGAAGCAUUUCCCAAAGAGAUCGUAGUGGUUAAUGAAUGAUUGAUAUCACCACUUGCAAUCCAAUUAAGUCGAAUCUUGUCAAUCUAAUUAAUUAUGUACAUUGACACACUCGAAAGGAUAGCUCCUCUUCCCCCACACACUCGAAUGCACUACACUGUAAGUGGACAAUGGGACAGUCACGAUAAGACAUCCUAGAGAGUCGAAUGCAACCACGUACGUUUCAUCCAAUGGCCAAGAUCAAUGCUAUAUUACUAUAAACAACAAACAUUUUAGCACUUUGAAUUUAAUGCAACUCUUUACACAAAUAAAACUAUAUUCUACUCUUUCUUUUGUUCAUAUUCAAACUUGUUUGAGCUUAGAUAACAUUGUUUUAGUUAAGUUAUUUAUGAUUGAUUCUUAAUGUGCAAUCACCCAUGAAUUUAUGACCAGUAUUUGAACAUCUUUGUCUCGUGUCUUAAAGUAUCUCCCACGUUCAUGUGCAGUUAUUCCUUUGAAUUGCAUUUUCGGUUAAAAAUGUUGAAAUUUGCUCGUCUAGACAUGAGUGGACCCGAGAUCUGUUAUCCACGUCAUCCCUACAAAAAGUGAAUUUAUAAAAUGGAGACUUAAUUUUUUGGCUAAUUAUUUGAUUUAUGUUGACUAGUCUUAUUUUUUGGCUAAUGAUUAUUUUAAUAUACAUUUUCUUUAUAAGCGGCACAUUUUCAUAAUUUUAAAUUUUGAAUAAGUCCUUUGAUACGAACUAUAUAGUUUAUGGAUUUUACAAAUUUUUUACAAUAUAUUUUGUUAAUUUUUAUUAAAAUUUAUUAAAAAUCUAAUUUUAAUUUUCAAGCAAACAAGAGGAAAAUAUGAUUUCUAGAAGAUUAAAAGGUCAAUUGCAUUUUUCAGGUGCAAAGGUACCUAAAGUGACAAGACAGAAACGGCAAGAGACAUUAGAGGAUACUUGGAAGAUAAUAAUGGAAGCGCGUCAAGUGCCACCCACAAAGUCAGAUACGUGGC
rnacentral:lncRNA from 1 species